UGGAGAUAGCUCAGUUGGUAGAGCAUGAGACUAUUAAUCUCAGGGUCGUGGGUUUCAGCCCCACAUUGGGCAAAA